AUACAAACGACCGUAUAACAAAAUAUAAUCUUAGAACUAUUAUUGUCUUAUUCUAAUACACUAUGUGUGAGGCAAAAGCAACUUGCUUAAAAAAAUGAAUAAGUAAAAGCGAACAGCUCAAUAUAUGAAAAAAAAUGCUUGCUCCCGGCAUUAGGUGUGACGAACAGAGCGAUAGUCUGUAAACAAAAUAAAUAAACAUAAAACUAAAUAACACUUAAACUAAACAGCUGUUAAUAACAAUAACAAACAGAGAACAUUUAUAUCACAGAAUGUUAACGAAUUCCCCUAUGGGAGCCUGGGAGUGUUUCCCUGUAGAAAUCCGGUAGUAUAAGCUGAACGGGAUCGUCGUUGUCAAUUAAUUGGUUCAAAAUACCUAUUGGAGACAGUGUAUUUUCAUGGAGAGCUAAAUUAUCAGCAAAUUUCCUCUGGAGCCGUAAGGCGUAUUUGCAGAGUGGUACCACAGCAGAUUGUCCAUAAAUGUAUGUAUUAGAAAAUCGUUUUGUAUAGCUUUGAAAAUUCCUGCCAAUACAUUUCCUUAGUAUUCUUCGCUCAAAAAUUUCCAAUUCCCUGGCCACCGUUGGAGAGAUAGAGAACCAUAUGGGGAAUGCAUAUAUGAGUGUCGGCCUGAUAGCUACUUUAUAAAGAAGAAGUUUUGUCGCCUGUGGAAGAUAUUUGCUGUUCAUUAAACCGGAAAACAUACCCGAUAUUCUCUUGGCCCUCGUUAAGAACAAUCUGGCAUGAUUAUUAAAUUUCAUUAACUUGUUAAAAUUAACGCCCAGGUACUUAAUGGUGUCCUUAAAUGGAAUAUCCAUACCGUCAAGAGAGAGCUGCAAAAGUUUGCUCUCUGGAACCACAAAUCUGGCACAUUUACCAGAAGCAUUUCUCAGGCAGAUGGCUUCAGAUUUGGCUGCAUUAAUCCUGAUUCCCCAAGAUUUGUAAAAAGAAUUUACAACACCAAGAUGGAACGCCGCGUUAGUAAGCGCUUGUAUUGGAGAUUCAUUAUGUGAGUAGAUUAAACAAUCGUCUGCAUACAAUAUAGCCUUUGAGUUCUCAGUUGAAUGCGGAAAAUCGUGGAGAAAUAAAUUGAAUAGAAAGGGUGCCAAAACACUACCCUGGGGGACACCACUCUUUACGCUAUCGAAACUGGAGGAUGAACCGUUUAUCUGAACACAAAAUUUACGGUCGGAGAAAUAACUUUGAAAUAGCUUUAUAAGAUAAGGAUCAACUCCUAGCUCCACCAGUUUAUACAAUAUUCCCUUAUGCCAAGCGGAAUCGAAUGCUUUUUCAAUGUCUAACGAUAAAGCUACCGUACAUAUUUUAUCUCUCAGUUUUUUUGUGAUGUCACCGUGGAAUUUCAGAAGAGCAUGUUGAGUCGAGUGAAAUUGUUUGAAGCCAAAUUGAAAUGCAGAUAUCGGACUAACUAUGAAUUCUCCUUCCAGUUUAUCCUUCAAGACGUGUUCAAAUAUCUUUCCAAUGUUUGAGAGCAUUGAAAUAGGGCGAAAAUCUUCAAUAUUGUUGCUGUUCUCCUUUUUCCUCAACGGAAUUAUCUUAGCCGAUUUCCACACAGCUGGAAAAUAGUAAUUGUUAAUACAAUUAUUAAAGAUGAUGACCCAACAUUAGUAAAGUGGUAUGCAUCUUGGUUUUCAACAGAGUUAAAUAAUCCAUCGAACGAGUAAAUAUGCUGGGGAAUGACAUCAACACAAGACGAAAUACGGGCAUCUAUAUCCGCAAUGGCUCCUUCCGGAAUAUUUUCGCUGUAUACUGUUGCAUAGUAUUCUCGGAAGUUCUCCGAAAUUUCAGAUUCAUUGGAGAUAAUGGUGUUGUUGACACAAACUGAUUUGCAAAAUGUUGACUUUCUUUUUCCCAUUAG